UUGAAGUCCUUAUAAAAUCAUUUCUCUUGAGGGUGGGGUGGUCGGGGAGGGGGCGACAGAAGGUGGACACAGAUAAAAGAGUGAAGGAAUUCCAAGCUGAAAGGUGACAAGCAUGCUGAGCCACAUCUAGCACUACCUCUCCUCAGUGAAGUGACUGGGGAAGCCAAAUGGAUGAUCCACCACCUGGACAACUUCUUGAGCAACUGGUCUCAGAGAAUGCCAUUUUACCCAUCGUGUUCCGACACUAGGGGAGCCACGGGAAGAGUUUGUGGCCAAGGAAAAGGCCCAUAGACCGAGGAUCUGGCUAUGUCACCCAGGCAAGAGUGCAGUGGCAUGAUCUCGGCUCACUGCAGCCUCAACCUCCCAGGCUCAAGUGAUCCUCCCAUCUCAGCCUCCUGAGUAGCUGUGACCACAGGUGUGUGCCACCAUGCUCAGCUAAUUGUUUGUAUUUUUUGUAAAGACAGGGUUUUGCCAUAUUGCCCAGGCUGGUUCCGAACUUCGGAGAUCAAGUGAUCCACCUCUUUGGUCUCCCAAAGAGUUGGAUUAAAGGCACUGAGCCACUGUGCCUGGCAGAAGCUUUUAAUUUUGAAAUUGUUAUAUAAUUCUGAGUUUUCAGUGUUGGUUAAAAUUUUCUCUACUCCUAGAUUUUCUUACAAAAGUAUUCUCAUUACAAUUUUACAUCUAAAUUUUAAUUGUUAAUCUGAAAAAGGUAUAAUAAUGCGUUAUUUUUCUUGUGUUUCUAAGCUUUUGGACAGUUCAUAUUCAAAAUUAAAGCCAGUGCUUUUAAUCCAGAAAUACAUCACUUGAAAAUGUGUUGGAAGAUUUUUUUUAAGUAAAAACACUUACUAAUAUACUGCUUAAAAAUAUACUGCUUAAAAUAUACUAAAUAAAAAUAUACUGCUUAAAAAUAUACUAAAACAAUACAACUAAUAAACUGCUUAAAGAUAAGCUGAUUCUGUGUUUCCUAACUCUCUGGACUUCUUGUAAGAUGUAACCUGAAAUACUCUCUCUAAUAGAAGAAUCGAAUCGAAUGUGGUCUAUUUAUUUUUAGUGUGAUGAGAGGUAUUCCUGUUUUGUUAGUUUGUUUGUUUGUUUGUUUUUUGUAAUUUCAACCUUUAUUUUAGAUUCAGGGGAUACAUAUGCCGGUUUGCUACAUGGAUAUUGUGUGAUGCUGAGGUUUGGAGUACAAUUGAGCUCAUCACCCAGGAAGUGACUAUAGUACCCAGAAGUUUUUCAACCCUUGUCUGCCUCCUUCUCCCACCUCUAAUAUUCCCCAGAAUCUAUUGUUGCCUUUUUUAUGUCCAUGAGUACCCAAUGUUUUGCUCCGUCUUGUAAAUAAGAACAUGUGGUAUUUGGUUUUCUGUUCCUGAGUUAAUUUGUCUAGGAUAAUGGCCUCAAGCUGCAUCAAUGUUGUUGCAAAAGACAUGAUUUCAUUCUUUUUUAUUGCUGUGUAGUAUUCCAUGAUGUAGAUGCAGCACAUUUUCUUUACCCAGUCCACCACUGAUGGGCAUGUAGGUUGAUUCUAUGUCUUUGCUAUUGUGAAUAGUGCUGUGACGAAAAUGUGAGUGCAUCUGUCUUUUUGGUGGAACAAUUUCUUUUCUUUUGGAUAUACACUCAGUAAUGGGAUUGCUGGGUUGAAUAGUAUAAAUUGGUGCAAAAGUAAUUGCAUGUUUUGCCAUUGAAAAUCAUGGCAAAACCCUCAAUUACUUUUGCACCAACCUGAUAGUUCCAAGUUCUUUGAGAAAUCUCUGAACUGCUUUCCUCAGUGACUGAACUAGUGUGUAUUCCCACCAGCAGUGUAUAAGUACUACCUUCUCUACACAGCCUUACCAGUAUCUAUUAUUUUUUGACUUUUUAGUAAUAGCCAUUCUGACCAGUGUGAGAUGAUAUCUCAUUGUGGUUUUAAUUUGCAUUUCUCUGAUGAUUAGUGAUGUUGAUUUCUUUUAAUGCUUUUUGGCCACUUGUAUGUCUUCUCUUGAGAAAUGUUUGUUCAUGUGAUGAACUCUGAUGGAAUGCACUAUUUAUAAAUUUCUCUAUGUGUUUAAUUAAAUAUUUUGUUUUUUUGCAUUUGGGGGCUAUGUUUUUGAACACACACAAGUUCAGCUUUGUUAUAUUUUCCUAUGAAUUUUUUGUUAGCAGUAUAUAAGUAAUCCUUUUGCUUAUAUUUUAUACAUGGCAUGCAUAUUUUAUACAUGAUUGUGUUAGGCCAUUCUAGCAUUGCUAUAAAAGAAUACUCAAGAUGGGGUAAUUUGUAAAGAAAAGAGGUUUAAUUGGCUCUCAGUUCUGCAGGCUGUACAAGAAGUGUGGCACCAGCAUCUGCUUCUGGUAAGGGCCUCAGGGAGAUUUUACUCAUGACAGAAGGCAAAGGAGGAGCAGACACAUUCACAUGGCAAGGGCAGGAGUGAGAGAGGGAGCAAGGGCAACAACUGACUCUUGAGUGAACUCAUUACUGUACGGAUGGAACCAAGCCGUUCAUGAAGGAUCCACUCUCUUGACCCAAACACCUCCCACCAGGCCCCAUCUCCAACACUGGGGAUUACAUUUCAACAUGAGAUUUGGAUUAUUCAUGAUGUAUCCCUUCUUUCUUUACUUUAAGUUUAUUACUUAUCUUACAUGAUUUUCUCAAAUCUUUAUUGUUUAUUAUUUCUGUGGGUUGAUCAAAUUUGUAUUCAAUUUAUGUUUUUAAUGACCUUGUUUUAGAAUUUCUGAUGAUGUAAUUUUACAUUUCAUCAAUGGCUGACUUUUCUUUCUUUGCUCACAUGAUCAAUCAAAAAUAACCCAAACAUGUCCCCCUAAAUUUCAGUUUACCAUUUAAUAUGCUCUAAUUUUUCCUUAUUUUUCUGCCAUCCCAAUAUCAUAAGAAUGUUAGAAAACUUUCACCAUCCUUUUCCUAUAACUUUUCUUCCUACCCCCAUGAGAACUUUAGAAUGUUUUACUUCAUCUUCUCUUUGUCCACUCCACCCUAACUUACAUCAAGAAUUUAGGGAGUUGUGCCAUAUUUUUAUCCUCUGUAACAGUUUUUUCAGAUAGGUAUUAUAUGUUACCCGAAGAUUACAUAUAAUUUGCCAAGAAAAACAUUGUUGUCUGGUGUUUUUCAGGACUAUUUCUUUCUCUUUUCUUUGUUAAUGAUAAGUGGAUUUAAAAAUACAAAUUUAGUUUUUUAAAGUUAAAUUAAUAUUUUUCCAAUAAAUUAUUUAAGUGUUAUCUCAGUAUUAAAAUUUACCAAAGAUAAAAUUAUUCAUGUAUUCUUCUGUGGUUAAAAAAAUCUCUAUUAUAAAUAUAAUGCCCACUUUUCACCAAUCACUUUUAUCAGAGGUUUGUUCAUCUUCGUAGACAACGUUUGGGGUUUGCAUUUGUUGGCUGGUCCUAUAUAUUUUGUUUUGUUUACUUUCUUUUUCUCUUGUCAAUAUUUUCUUUCUCCUACAUUUAGGUUUGUUUUGUUUCUUAACUAUGAGUUGUUGAUUACUCAUUGUUUUCAUCCUUUCUUUUCAUGUUAGUAUUUAACAUUAUACCUUUUACUAUGGACAGUUUUGUAGCUGCAGGUUACAUUUUUUUAAUAUAGUAUGGUCAUCAUUGUUAUGUUCUAGUUUCUAAUGUACGUUUUAAUUUUUUCUUAGAGUCAAAAUAAUCUGGAAGAGGGUUUUGAUACUGAUAUAUAUUAAAUUAAUAUAUAUAAAUGAUUAUAUUAUUUGAUAAAACUUACUGUGAAUUAUUAAGUGUUCAAUAUUUAUAUAUAUUCCAUGUGUGUUUGUAAAGACUGUGUACCCUCAAUUACUGGGUGCAGAGUUGUGCAUCUGUUCAUUAGAUAAAGCUUAUAAAUCAUAUUUUUCAAAUAAUAUAGGUUCAUAUCAAUUAAUUACUGGAAGAGGUAGGCUAAAAUGUCCAACUCUGAUGGAAUUUCUCUAUGUGUUUAAAUAUUUUGUUUUUGCAUUUGGGGGCUAUGUUUUUAAGCUCAUACAAGUUCAUCUUUGUCGUAUUUUCCUAUAAAUUUUUCCUGUUAGCAAUAUAUAAGUAAUCCUUUUGCUUAUCAUUAUGCUGCUGGAAUGUAUAUUUUAUUAAUAAGGCUUUAUUUAUUUAUUUAUUUAUUUUUGAGACAGAGCCUCACUCUGUCACCCAGGCUAGAGUGCAGUGGCACGAUCUCAGCUCACUGCAAGCUCCACCUCCCGGGUUCACGCCAUUCUCCCACCUCAGCCUCCCAAGUAGCUGGGACUACAGGUGCCUGCCACCACGCCUGGCUAAUUUUUUUUGUAUUUUUAGUAGAGACGGGGUUUCACCAUAUUAGCCAGGAUGGUCUCGAUCUCCUGACCCCAUGAUCUGCCUGCCUUGGCCUCCCAAAGUGUUGGGAUUACAGGUGUGAGCCACUGCACCCGGCCAAUAAGGCUUCAAUAGCUUUGCUUGGUAGUCUUUUUUUUAGUCUAUCAUUCUCUAUCUCUUUAUUAUAUUCAAUGUAUUUUGAUGUGUCUCUUAUAAACAUUGCAAGGAUUUGUUAAAAAUCUUAUCAAACAGGAAUGACUUUCACUUUUACCCAUACAAAACAUAAAGCUAAAAGAUUGGACAAAAUAUGUGAAGCAAUGAUUUCCAGACAGUGGACUUUGGACAUUGACAGUGCAAGCCUUUAAUCCCUAACAGAAGAGAAUCUCACGAGAUGACUCUCACUUCAUGCUAGCUCUGUGCCUGGAGAAAAUUUUCUGAGCACAAAGAGGUAGAAUGCAACCAGAAAGAAAACUGUGGCCCUACUGAACUGAGGAAGAAGAGGUCAGAGUUCUGGAAUCAGAAAGAGCAAGUAGGAAGGGUGCUGCACCUAAGGACUCUAGAUCCUUGGUUUGGGACUGGGCCUCACACAUGUAAUGUGAGGCUCUUGAGACUGAGGAGGACUGCUGUUCGGUCAGGAUCAGAAGGAAUAUGCUAGAGUUCAAGCCACCAUGCAAGAUCCGUGAGCAACUCCUUAGGUGAAUUGUGAAAGACAGCCAGAUGGCUGUGCUCCAUUUCUCAACCUCCUCUGCAGCUAGGUGUAGCCAUAUGACUGCCUUUCCAAUGAAAUUGAAGUAGAACUGAUGAGUACAAUCUCUGCG
rnacentral:lncRNA from 1 species